CCCCGAGGAAAAGAAAUCAACCGAGAUUCCCCCAGUAGCGGCGAGCGAACGGGGAGGAGCCCAGAGCCUGAAUCAGUGUGUGUGUUAGUGGAAGCGUCUGGAAAGGCGCGCGAUACAGGGUGACAGCCCCGUACACAAAAAUGCACAUGCUGUGAGCUCGAUGAGUAGGGCGGGACACGUGGUAUCCUGUCUGAAUAUGGGGGGACCAUCCUCCAAGGCUAAAUACUCCUGACUGACCGAUAGUGAACCAGUACCGUGAGGGAAAGGCGAAAAGAACCCCGGCGAGGGGAGUGAAAAAGAACCUGAAACCGUGUACGUACAAGCAGUGGGAGCCUCUUUAUGGGGUGACUGCGUACCUUUUGUAUAAUGGGUCAGCGACUUAUAUUCUGUAGCAAGGUUAACCGAAUAGGGGAGCCGAAGGGAAACCGAGUCUUAACUGGGCGUUAAGUUGCAGGGUAUAGACCCGAAACCCGGUGAUCUAGCCAUGGGCAGGUUGAAGGUUGGGUAACACUAACUGGAGGACCGAACCGACUAAUGUUGAAAAAUUAGCGGAUGACUUGUGGCUGGGGGUGAAAGGCCAAUCAAACCGGGAGAUAGCUGGUUCUCCCCGAAAGCUAUUUAGGUAGCGCCUCGUGAAUUCAUCUCCGGGGGUAGAGCACUGUUUCGGCAAGGGGGUCAUCCCGACUUACCAACCCGAUGCAAACUGCGAAUACCGGAGAAUGUUAUCACGGGAGACACACGGCGGGUGCUAACGUCCGUCGUGAAGAGGGAAACAACCCAGACCGCCAGCUAAGGUCCCAAAGUCAUGGUUAAGUGGGAAACGAUGUGGGAAGGCCCAGACAGCCAGGAUGUUGGCUUAGAAGCAGCCAUCAUUUAAAGAAAGCGUAAUAGCUCACUGGUCGAGUCGGCCUGCGCGGAAGAUGUAACGGGGCUAAACCAUGCACCGAAGCUGCGGCAGCGACGCUUAUGCGUUGUUGGGUAGGGGAGCGUUCUGUAAGCCUGCGAAGGUGUACUGUGAGGUAUGCUGGAGGUAUCAGAAGUGCGAAUGCUGACAUAAGUAACGAUAAAGCGGGUGAAAAGCCCGCUCGCCGGAAGACCAAGGGUUCCUGUCCAACGUUAAUCGGGGCAGGGUGAGUCGACCCCUAAGGCGAGGCCGAAAGGCGUAGUCGAUGGGAAACAGGUUAAUAUUCCUGUACUUGGUGUUACUGCGAAGGGGGGACGGAGAAGGCUAUGUUGGCCGGGCGACGGUUGUCCCGGUUUAAGCGUGUAGGCUGGUUUUCCAGGCAAAUCCGGAAAAUCAAGGCUGAGGCGUGAUGACGAGGCACUACGGUGCUGAAGCAACAAAUGCCCUGCUUCCAGGAAAAGCCUCUAAGCAUCAGGUAACAUCAAAUCGUACCCCAAACCGACACAGGUGGUCAGGUAGAGAAUACCAAGGCGCUUGAGAGAACUCGGGUGAAGGAACUAGGCAAAAUGGUGCCGUAACUUCGGGAGAAGGCACGCUGAUAUGUAGGUGAAGUCCCUCGCGGAUGGAGCUGAAAUCAGUCGAAGAUACCAGCUGGCUGCAACUGUUUAUUAAAAACACAGCACUGUGCAAACACGAAAGUGGACGUAUACGGUGUGACGCCUGCCCGGUGCCGGAAGGUUAAUUGAUGGGGUUAGCGGUAACGCGAAGCUC
rnacentral:rRNA from 1 species